GUGAGAAUCACAGUGCAGUUCUCCUCUGGCAUGGAGGGCGAGAGGAGCUGAAUAACUAAUGGAUGAUAAACUGCUAGCCUUUCCCUGCCAAAGGAGAGCUGCCCUGCCAUUCAGUG
rnacentral:pre_miRNA from 1 species